AACGAACGCUGGCGGCAGGCCUAACACAUGCAAGUCGAGCGAGGGGUAACCCUAGCGGCGGACGGGUGAGUAACGCGUGGGAACGUACCCUUUGGUUCGGAAUAGCCCCUGGAAAUGGGGAGUAAUACCGGAUACGGUCGAGAGACGAAAGAUUUAUCGCCGAAGGAUCGGCCCGCGUUGGAUUAGGUAGUUGGUGGGGUAAUGGCCUACCAAGCCGACGAUCCAUAGCUGGUUUGAGAGGAUGAUCAGCCACACUGGGACUGAGACACGGCCCAGACUCCUACGGGAGGCAGCAGUGGGGAAUCUUAGACAAUGGGCGCAAGCCUGAUCUAGCCAUGCCGCGUGAUCGAUGAAGGCCUUAGGGUUGUAAAGAUCUUUCAGUGGGGAAGAUAAUGACUGUACCCACAGAAGAAGCCCCGGCUAACUCCGUG
rnacentral:rRNA from 1 species